GCUAUAAUGCAGUCGAGCGCGGGAAGCAGGCAGAUCCUCUUCGGAGGUGACGCCUGUGGAACGAGCGGCGGACGGGUGAGUAACACGUGGGCAACCUGCCUGUAAGAUUGGGAUAACCCCGGGAAACCGGGGCUAAUACCGGAUAAUACUUUUCGUUGCAUAACGAGAAGUUGAAAGGCGGCUUUUAGCUGUCACUUACAGAUGGGCCCGCGGCGCAUUAGCUAGUUGGUAAGGUAACGGCUUACCAAGGCGACGAUGCGUAGCCGACCUGAGAGGGUGAUCGGCCACACUGGGACUGAGACACGGCCCAGACUCCUACGGGAGGCAGCAGUAGGGAAUCUUCCGCAAUGGACGAAAGUCUGACGGAGCAACGCCGCGUGAGUGAUGAAGGUUUUCGGAUCGUAAAACUCUGUUGUCAGGGAAGAACAAGUGCCGUUCGAAUAGGGCGGCACCUUGACGGUACCUGACCAGAAAGCCCCGGCUAACUACGUGCCAGCAGCCGCGGUAAUACGUAGGGGGCAAGCGUUGUCCGGAAUUAUUGGGCGUAAAGCGCGCGCAGGCGGUCCUUUAAGUCUGAUGUGAAAGCCCACGGCUUAACCGUGGAGGGCCAUUGGAAACUGGAGGACUUGAGUACAGAAGAGGAGAGUGGAAUUCCACGUGUAGCGGUGAAAUGCGUAGAGAUGUGGAGGAACACCAGUGGCGAAGGCGACUCUCUGGUCUGUAACUGACGCUGAGGUGCGAAAGCGUGGGGAGCGAACAGGAUUAGAUACCCUGGUAGUCCACGCCGUAAACGAUGAGUGCUAGGUGUUAGGGGGUUUCCGCCCCUUAGUGCUGAAGUUAACGCAUUAAGCACUCCGCCUGGGGAGUACGGCCGCAAGGCUGAAACUCAAAAGAAUUGACGGGGGCCCGCACAAACGGUGGAGCAUGUGGUUUAAUUCUAAGCAACGCGAAGAACCUUACCAGGUCUUGACAUCCUCUGCCAAUCCUAGAGAUAGGAUGUUCCCUUCGGGGACAGAGUGACAGGUGGUGCAUGGUGUCGUCAGCUCGUU
rnacentral:rRNA from 1 species